AGCUCAAAGCAUGGAAACGCCCUUCCCACAUAUCCUUCUCUCACUUCAUCUUGGCGAGUGCGUCUUCCAACUCCUCUACAUCUUGGUUAGGGAGAGUUAAUGGCUCAACCACAACCAUAGACAUAGGUCUCUCACAAGGAUAAGACAUCUUCAACUCCAUAGCUCUCUUCUUUACCCAAAGAGUGUAAGCUUCCAAAGCUACACAAUUG
rnacentral:lncRNA from 1 species